GGAGGAAAAGAAACCAACAGGGAUUGCCCUAGUAAUGGCGAAUGAACAGGCAAAAGCUCAGAUUUGAAACCCUCGGGAUUGUAAUCUGGAGACCUGGAUUUGGCACGCUGACCAAGUCUUCUGGAACGGAGCGCCAUGGAGGGUGACAGCCCCGUAGCAGCAGCCACUGUAAAUCCGGGUCGACGAGUCGAGUUGUUUGGGAAUGCAGCUCUAAGUGGGUGGUAUGCUCCAUCUAAAGCUAAAUAUUGGCGAGAGACCGAUAGCGAACAAGUACUGUGAAGGAAAGAUGAAAAGAACUUUGAAAAGAGAGUGAAAAAGUACGUGAAAUUGUUGAAAUGGAAGGCAAUGAGGUGCGAUUGAACCGGACGUUUGCGGGCAGGACAAAAGCGCAGGCCGCCUCGGCAUUGCCUGCGUGCAUACUGCCUCGCGGACUACCAGUUCUAACAACGCCUUAUUGCACCCGUCU
rnacentral:rRNA from 1 species